rfam:Gossypium raimondii Chr06_contig_279, whole genome shotgun sequence.
AAUCCAUGCAUCGGGCAUUUCUAAAGUAAUUCUUUAAAUCGUUCCCAAGUUUUAUAUAAUGUUUCAUCCUUCCAUUACCAAAAAGAUUUGAUGUGAUUUCUAAGCAU